CUCUUUUUGAAUAUAAUUUAAAGUAGGGCCUGCCCACUGAUUUUUUGAAGGGCCGCAGUAUCUUAACUGUGCAAAGGUAGCAUAAUCAUUAGUUUUUUAAUUGAAAGCUGGAAUGAAUGGUUUGAUGAAAAAAUUUCUGUUUCAAUAUUAAUUUUUUAAAAUUUUAUUUUUAAGUUAAAAAGCUUAAAUUUAUAUAAAAGACGAGAAGACCCUAUAGAGUUUUAUUAAUAAAUAGUUUUUUAAAUAUAGAAUUUAUUUUUAAAAAAUUUACUAUUAAUUUGAUUGGGGUGAUUAAAAAAUUAAAUUAACUUUUUUUUUAUUAAUACAUUAAUUUAUGAAUUAUUGAUCCAUAAAAAUGAUUAAAAGAAUAAAUUACCUUAGGGAUAACAGCGUUAUUUUUUUUAAGAGUUCUUAUUUAAAAAAAAGUUUGCGACCUCGAUGUUGGAUUAAAAUUAAUUUUUGGUGUAGAAGCUAAAAAAUUAGGUCUGUUCGACCUUUAAAAUUUUACA
rnacentral:rRNA from 1 species